rnacentral:rRNA from 1 species
UGAGGGACGAAAGCGUGGGUAGCAAACAGGAUUAGAGACCCUGGUAGUCCACGCCGUAAAUUCUGAGUGCUGUAAUUUAAUUGUAAUAUUCUUUUAUAUUACUUAGAUUUUCAAGCUAACGCAAUAAGCACUCCGCCUGAGGAGUACGAUCGCAAGAUUGGAACUCAAAGGAAUUGACGGGGGUCUAACACUAGUGGUGGAGCAUGUGGUUUAAUGCGAUAAUCCGCGCAAAAUCUUACCAAUUCUUGACAUAUUUGAACAAUUAUACAAAUUAAUAUGGUUUUUAUGUAUGAUGUUUUUUUACAGGUGUUGCAUGACUGUCGUCAGCUCGUGUCGUGAGACGUCUGGUUAGGUCCUGAAACGGGCGCAACUCUUACUUUUUACAAAGUUUUUACAGAUUAAAAGUUUUUAUGAUAUAAAAAUCUUUUAAAUGCUUUAAAAGUACGGUCAACGAUAAGUUGAAGGAAGGUAAGAAUGAAGUCAAGUCACCAUGACCCUGAUGAAUUGGGCUACACAUGCGCUACAAUGAAAAUUACAAAAAGUGACAAAAAAGAAAUUUUAAGUUAAUCAACAAAAAUUUUCCCAGUUCGGAUUGUAAACUGCAACUCGUUUACAUGAAGUUGGAAUCACUAGUAAUCGCAAAUCAGCACGUUGCGGUGAACAUGUAACUUGGCCUUGUACACACCGCCCGUCACUUGCAAAGAAUCAGUUUCGCUUGAAGAUUUUAAUAAAAUCCAUUGAGAGAUUGAUAAUUUGGAUGAAGUCGUAACAAGGUAACCGUA